rnacentral:misc_RNA from 1 species
ACUUGUUUUUUUUCUUCUUCUGCAAUAACAAACCAAUCAUGUCAGCAGUCAACAAUUUUGCUACUCAUAUCCUCUCUUCUUCCUCAAAAAGAUCCUUUCAAGAAUCCAGAAAGACUCAAACUUUAUCCAUCAACUUUUCUCCAACUUUCACCAUACAUAAUAUACCAAAAACCCCAUCAAGAACAAGUCUUGUUUGUUCAAUAAAUGCUGUGACAGAAGAUAAAGAAGCAGAGGCCAACCAAGAAAAUGAAAAGAAAGAAUCAAAUGGAACUGAAAUUGAAGAAAAAAUCAAGAAUAGCUUCUUGUACAUUUUGUUGGAUAAAGAUAGGUUUUUUAAUGCUUCAAUUGUGCUUGGUGCUGGUACACUUGCUGUCACAAGGUUACUCACCAUAGAUCAUGAGUAUUGGCAUGGAUGGACCCUUUACGAGAUACUGAGGUAUGCCCCGGAGCACAACUGGAUUGCAUAUGAAGAAGCGCUGAAAGCAAAUCCUGUGUUGGCUAAAAUGGCGAUUAGUGGUAUUGUCUACUCUGUAGGAGACUGGACCGCUCAAUGCUAUGAAGGAAAGCCUCUUCUUGAAUUUGACCGGACUCGCAUGUUUAGAUCUGGUCUUGUUGGAUUUUCACUUCAUGGUUCCCUUUCCCACUACUAUUACCAAUUUUGUGAGGCUCUUUUCCCGUCCAACGAUUGGUGGGUGGUUCCAGCUAAAGUUGCUUUUGACCAAACCAUUUGGUCAGCAAUUUGGAAUAGCAUCUAUUUUGUUGUCCUUGGUUUCUUGCGUCUCGAAUCUGCAUCCAAUAUUUUUGGCGAACUUAGAGCCACGUUUUUG